UCUGACAGGGAUGGGCACCCAUGCCUGCUUCUUCCCAACACCCUCCUGGACGCCCCACUUCCUUCUCCUCCUCAUUUCACUAAUUGGCCUGUUACGGACAAGUUGGUCUCAGGGAGAAUUCUGUCCUCACAUGCCCUCUCUCAGCUGGCUUUGGGGUUUAACACCGAUGGGAAAUCAAAACUCUUGAGCCCCCAUAUUGACUUUCCUCUCUCCCUGCCAAAUGACUGGGGAAGCAUGACUCAGGGCAGAAAAAGGAAGUCAUUUGGCCAGCCCUUUCCCUAGGCCAAAAUGCCACUUGGGUAUCAUUUAGGGGCACCUCCAUGGGAUUCUAUAUUUAGGGGCACCUGUGUAUCAAGGAGAGGGCCCCGAUGAGGACCAGCAGCACCUGGUUCUGUCAGUAUUUGGCAGAGUGAUCUUGAGAAGCCAGUUCUUUGACCCUCGGCUUCUUUCUCCGUAUAAUGGGAUAAUAAAACGGGCCCUGCUCGCACUCGGUUGCUGGGAGAAUGAAGGAGGGUGAAGGCCUGGUAAACUUAGAUUAUCCUAGUGGUGGGAGGCUACUAAGUAAGGACCGGGCCCUUUACAACUUCAUGCACUGUCUUCCAACCCCUGCUGUCCCACAGAUGCUGGGGGAGGUAUAUGAGGCGACAGUGGAUCUAAAGCUCUCUUCAUCCAGACCCUCUGCUCCAGCCACCCCAUCUUCUAAACUGUUUCGCACCCCUACUUACCUGGUUCCCUCAUUCCUAGAAUGUCUUCUCAGCACAGAAUCGCCCUGCCCUGCCCCAGGGGUCCCCAGCUUUCUCCUUAAACCCUGAGCACUACCUGUAAUGCAGUCACAGAGCUAGUUAUUCCUCCCUUGUCCAGACACCUAAAAGCCCUGGUCACAGGGCUCAGAACCACUCAUCUCUGUAGCAUCCCCACACCCUAGACAACGGUGCAAGUUCAGGGAAUUUUGUUGCCUGGAGGGUGUUUUCUGAAGAGAUCAGUGAUCCCUAUGCUGAGAAACUGCCAAGAAUUGCUCAGUUUUGGGAGCCCCUCAGAUGAACUGCCCAGCGUACACAUGCUGCCCCUCACCUCCUAGGUCCUGGUCUAUUUCAGAACCUCUCCCUGCACCAAAGUGUCUGCCAGAAAGGCAUUGUUAGGGGGGCUGAUGGCCACCUGAACGCUGCUUAAAAGGGGCAGAGCAGAAAGGUAAACGGGGCCAACCUUCCUGACUAUGCCCCUCGGCAUCUGACCACAGAGAGGACCAGCAGUGGCGCCAUUGCAUCUUGGGGAAGAAAGGUGGCAGCUUCAGCCACUGCUCCAGUUGGGUAAUGUUUCAAGAAGGCGACGUGAGCAGUUUCAAAAGUGGCAGUUGCUCUGUGGGCCUGCCCUCUUGGGGUAAGGCAGCUUCCGCUCAGGUUCAACUUCAGGUCUGGGUGGGGAGGAGCGGCGGGAGCUACAGAGCAGGAGGCUGUGGAGGAGGGGAUUGGGUGCCGGGAAAUGAGAAGCCAUUGGUACCGUGGGCUAGAGAGGGCUUAACUUAGGGAAGGGUGGGGGCCGGAAGAGGAGAGGUGGAAGGUGCUGGGUUCUCCCGGGCGUCCCAUGGGACAGGGGCUGAGGAAAGCCAGGGAUGCCAACAGCAGCUGUUUCUCAGCAGGUAGGCCAUUGGUAGAGGGACUGCCGUGGGUGCAUAAAGAGAAAGGCCACUUCGGGGUAGGGUCAGGGCCUGGGGUGGGAACAGGGUUUAGGCUCAGGUAAGACAAGGUUAGCUGGUUGUCAGGGAGAGGGAGCCAGUCAAAUAAGGUGUCUACGCCUGGUUAAAAAGGGGGGGCACCAAGUUGCCAGCUACUGAGGGGCUGGCCGACUGAAACUGGUUCCAGAAAGUGAUGUGAAAAACUGUAAGCUGGGGCCAUCCUCCUAGAAAGGACCUUCUAACCUGACUGGGAGUUGUACGCCCCGCGACCUGGGAGUCAACUUUAGACCUGGCAGUCAACCUUGGACCUGGGAACCAACUUGGAAUGUGGUCCCUUCUCAUUCAAGAACUAGCUAAUAUCACGGAAGGAAUAACGACCUUGUUGCCCAAACAAUGGAGUCCCACAAAUUGCAUACGUCCCCAAGCAUGUAAUCCCUACUUCCCCAUGUAAUCUUUGCCCUUCUUCUCAAGAUAAGCAGCUGGCUUAUGGAAGGGUGCAGAGCAGGUUUUUGUGGAUGACCCGCUGCUCUCCCAUACCGCUGGCAUUAUUGGAACAAACGUUCUUAUAUGAUUCAA